GGAACAUUCCUCAGUUAUCUCCCUUUACUGCUUCGCCAAUAGAUGGCGCCAAUCACUACGGUCCUAAGUGUACUUCCGGCAUAAUGAUGGCGUUCAAAGUUUGUUGCACGGUCGAUUUCAAAUGCGCAGCAAUAUAACGAUGCCUGACUCGUGCUGCCGUGCCUCGAGAUGCUACAAUAGAGGUUCGACGUGUCCGAGAGGUCAAACCUUGCUGAAAUGGUGGUUGACUAUCAUUCGAAGUAGCGACGAAUGAACCAAAAGCAUGACGAGGUAGCCGUCAGCUCUCGCUGGUCUCACUCUCAGUGUUGUGUGCCAUUUCCACUUCUGACAGAGCGAUUUCGUUACUGUACCUAUUUAUGGUACCUGUUGUCCACAAAGAUGAGGCCCAGGUGAUUCCAGAAUACACAUGAUACAGGAUGAACACCUCUGAGACACAGAGAAAAACAGAUGUUUUCCCUGGACUGUAUCAGCUGACCCACUUAAUGCUGGUGGAUACUUGUGAUGUUCAAUGUAACAUCAGUGAGG
rnacentral:lncRNA from 1 species